AACGUGUUUUCCCUACCUAGAACAGUAAUGCACAUUGCUAUAUAAAAUGCAUUUACGCUUCAUAUCAGUUCAGUGUUCAUUAAGUUUGAUAUCAGCUAACUGAAAGUCACUGAAGCUUAACAUGUCGAUUUUUCCAUUGUUAUGUCUUGUUUUGAUUGCUUGUGUCUACGCACAGAGUCCUGACAACGUAGACGAUGAAACAAAUGAUCUGGUCAAAAGGCACAGGAUUCAAGUUAGCGGUCAUUAUCAGUCUAGAAACGGAUGGCGUAUUGGUGGCCAUUUUCAUCAUGGAUGGGGAGCACACCGUGGAACAGGAGGUGGCAUUUCAAUCUCUAAGUCCUGGGGCAAAAAGAGAGCAUCAACUGUCUGCAUGUCAAGAUGUGCAUAUGCCUGCAGAAAUUCUACAGUUAGAUGUAUGAAGAGCUGUCUUAUGAAUAUGUGCUGAUAUGUUCUCUAAUGUUUUGUUGUGAAAUAAAGAAUUACUGAAUCUUGAA